GGGCCAUUAGCGCAGGCAGGUAGCGCAGCAGGCUCUUAACCUGAAAGUUAGCUGUGAUCCCGCUGACUGGGGAAAGGUCGUGGGUUCGAAUCCCACAUGGCCCG
rnacentral:tRNA from 1 species